GUGAGGAAUAUUGGUCAAUGGGCGUAAGCCUGAACCAGCCAAGUCGCGUGAAGGAAGAAGGAUCUAUGGUUCGUAAACUUCUUUUGCAGGGGAAUAAAGUGCGGGACGUGUCCUGUUUUGUAUGUACCCUGAGAAUACGGAUCGGCUAACUCCGUGCCAGCAGCCGCGGUAAUACGGAGGAUCCGAGCGUUAUCCGGAUUUAUUGGGUUUACAGGGUGAGUAGGUGGUUUGAUAAGUCAGCGGUGAAAGUUUGCAGCUUAACUGGAAAAAUGCCGUUGAAACUGUCGGAAGUGAGUGUAAAUGAGGUAGGCGGAAUGCGUGGUGUAGCGGUGAAAUGCAUAGAUAUCACGCAGAACUCCGAUUGCGAAGGCAGCUUACUAAGCUACAACUGACACUGAAGCACGAAAGCGUGGGGAUCAAACAGGAUUAGAAACCCUGGUAGUCC
rnacentral:rRNA from 1 species